rnacentral:rRNA from 1 species
UACGGAGGGUGCAAGCGUUAUCCGGAUUCACUGGGUUUAAAGGGAGCGUAGGUGGGCUGGUAAGUCAGUGGUGAAAUCUCCGGGCUUAACUCGGAAACUGCCGUUGAUACUAUCAGUCUUGAAUAUUGUGGAGGUAAGCGGAAUAUGUCAUGUAGCGGUGAAAUGCUUAGAUAUGACAUAGAACACCGAUAGCGAAGGCAGCUUGCUACACAAUUAUUGACACUGAGGCUCGAAAAGCGUGGGGAUCAAACAGG